rnacentral:rRNA from 1 species
UACGAAGGGGGCUAGCGUUGUUCGGAAUCACUGGGCGUAAAGCGCACGUAGGCGGAUGUGCCAGUCAGGGGUGAAAUCCCGGAGCUCAACUUCGGAACUGCCUCUGAUACAGCACGUCUUGAGUCCGGAAGAGGUGGGUGGAAUUCCUAGUGUAGAGGUGAAAUUCGUAGAUAUUAGGAAGAACACCGGUGGCGAAGGCGGCCCACUGGUCCGGUACUGACGCUGAGACGCGAAAGCGUGGGGAGCAAACAGG